AAGUCGUAACAAGGUUUCCGUAGGUGAACCUGCGGAAGGAUCAUUAACAAAUUCUCCAAUAUACUACAUAUACACCUGUGAAAUGGCUGAAUAUCAGCAGCUUUACCGUAUCAUGUAGCCUAAUGUAAAAAAUCAAUAAUUUGACAACUUUUAACAAUGGAUCUCUUGGCUCUC
rnacentral:misc_RNA from 1 species